ACUCAAGCCAGCGCUGCAACCGCGCUUGAUGGCAGGAAGUGGAACCGGCGCGUCACUGACGCAGCGAGCACCGGCGUGACCGUGAGGCGGGACGCCGCGACGCCGGGAGCGGGCGAAGCUGGAGCUGCGGACAAUCCCUCUGUGUCCGUCGGAGUCUUCCCGAACCAGAAUCCCUGGAUGAACCAAGAAACUCACACACAUUGCUGAGGGCCAGGACAGCGACUUUCAGGUGUCGAUUCUGGGACUGCAGGAAGUGGUUCUGAGAGCUCUGGACAUCUUUCUUCUCUCACAAUUAACUCUACUGUCCUCAAUUAAUCGAUGUGUUGUCUCCAGAUGACAUCAGAUGCAACCUUCAUUGUGAAUGACUGAAACUGAUCCAUAACAAACUGUGGUCCAUUGUCGCUGACGAAGUGUUCUGAAACACCUGUCCUUGAGAAGAGGCUACUUAACAUCUUCGCCAGUGUGUGAGGCUGUAGCGGAGGCUAUUGGGAACACUUCUGGCUACUUUAUAGCUGAAUCCACUAGUUCCAAGAAAUUUGUGCCUAUGAAUGAUCUGACAAAAUUCACAUGAAUCCUCUGUCAGGGCAAUACAGACCAUUCCUUGGGAUGGGGAGAUACUGCUUUUGGCAUCUUCUGGAUGUGUUGGCAUUCUGAACAGUGCAUGUUGAGAUGCUCAAUCUGUUCAGUUAUCCCAGGCCACCAGGCAAAGCUUCAAGCCAACACUUUUAUUUUGACUAUGACUAGAUGACCGACAUGUAGCUCCUUCAAUACUUUAGCUCUCAGCUUGGAUGGUACAACAACUCUCAAUCCCCACAUAAGGCAACCUCUGUCAAGGACAAGUUCAUCUCAGCACUGUAAAAAUGGGAGAACCAGAGUUUCUGCUGCAUAUUCCAGCUAUUUUGAAUUGCUAUGUGGACCUGAGACAGUGUGAGGUGUUUUCUGGUUUUCCUUUGGAUCAUCUCUGCCAUGAUAGGGAGACUUUCGAUUUGCACUGGGGAGAAUAUGUCAAGAGGAGUGUCCUCUUUUGUAAAUUUUUCAGCUAUUUCCUUUUCCAAGGUUAAAUUGGACAACCCAUCAACAUUUCCAUGAUUAGUCAUACUCUUGGAUUCGAUCUUGUAAUUGUGUACUCUGAUAAAUAGAGCCCGUCUCUGCUUUAGUGCUGCUGCUGUUAGUGGUACAUCCUUCUGUGGAUUGAAACUGGACACUGGUGGUUGAUGAUCAGUAAUGAACAUAAACUGUCUGUCACAGAGGUGCUGGUUGAAACUUUUUUUUUACCCCAUGCAAGACUCAAGGCCUCUCUGUCAAUCUGUGCAUAUUUUUUUUCUGCAGCAGUAAGGGAAUAUUAUGCAAAGGCAAUAGGGCGUUCACUUCCACCACUCAUAACGUGGCAUGUCUGCACAUAUACCAUAAGGCGAGGAAUCACAGGUAAGCUAAACAGGAUGAAAUGGAUCAAGAUGUGUGAAAACAGUGUCUGGCAUCACCAUUUCCUUUGCUUUUUGGAAAGCCACCUCAGACUGCUUUGUUUCCAUUUCUUUCCAAUCUGUGGUAAUGAGUUCAAGGGCUGGAGCACAGUAGCCUGGUUUGGCAGAAACCUGUUAUACUGAUGGACAAAUCCUUAAAGGAACCAGAACUGUGACACAUCCUUUGGCCUUGGGGCAUGAAUUGACUUUAUUUCUUACAUCCUUCACAUACAUGAGGAGUAAAAAUCUUUAUGUUAUGUCUCUGUCUAAGUGUAGAAUGUGCAAUCAUAGUAAUUAAUAAUAAAUAGAA